rnacentral:rRNA from 1 species
AGCGAACGCUGGCGGCAGGCUUAACACAUGCAAGUCGAGCGGGCAUCCUUGUGGUGUCAGCGGCAGACGGGUGAGUAACGCGUGGGAACGUGCCCUCGGUUCGGAAUAACUCAGGGAAACUUGAGCUAAUACCGGAUACGUGCGAGAGCAGAAAGGUUUAUCUGCCGAAGGAUCGGCCCGCGUCUGAUUAGCUAGUUGGUGAGGUUAUGGCUCACCAAGGCGACGAUCAGUAGCUGGUCUGAGAGGAUGAUCAGCCACACUGGGACUGAGACACGGCCCAGACUCCUACGGGAGGCAGCAGUGGGGAAUAUUGGACAAUGGGGGCAACCCUGAUCCAGCCAUGCCGCGUGAGUGAUGACGGCCUUAGGGUUGUAAAGCUCUUUUCUCCGGGACGAUAAUGACGGUACCGGAGGAAUAAGCCCCGGCUAACUUCGUG